AACGAACGCUGGCGGCAGGCUUAACACAUGCAAGUCGAGCGCCCCGCAAGGGGAGCGGCAGACGGGUGAGUAACGCGUGGGAAUCUACCGAGCCCUAAGGAAUAGCUCCGGGAAACUGGAAUUAAUACCUUAUACGCCCUUCGGGGGAAAGAUUUAUCGGGGUUUGAUGAGCCCGCGUUGGAUUAGCUAGUUGGUGGGGUAAAGGCCUACCAAGGCGACGAUCCAUAGCUGGUCUGAGAGGAUGAUCAGCCACAUUGGGACUGAGACACGGCCCAAACUCCUACGGGAGGCUGCAGUGGGGAAUAUUGGACAAUGGGCGCAAGCCUGAUCCAGCCAUGCCGCGUGAGUGAUGAAGGCCCUAGGGUUGUAAAGCUCUUUCACCGGUGAAGAUAAUGACGGUAACCGGAGAAGAAGCCCCGGCUAACUUCGUGCCAGCCGCCGCGGUAACAC
rnacentral:rRNA from 1 species